rnacentral:rRNA from 1 species
AGGUAAGCUACUAAGAGCGAAUGGUGGAUGCCUUGACUGGUAAAGGCGAUGAAGGACGUACUAGACUGCGAUAAGCUACGGGGAGCUGUCAAGAAGCUUUGAUCCGUAGAUUUCCGAAUGGGGCAACCCAAUGUAUAGAGAUAUACAUUACCUAUAUAGGAGCGAACGAGGGGAAUUGAAACAUCUUAGUACCCUCAGGAAAAGAAAUCAAUAGAGAUUGCGUCAGUAGCGGCGAGCGAAAGCGCAAGAGGGCAAACCCAGUGCUUGCACUGGGGGUUGUAGGACUGCAAUGUGCAAGAGGUAAGUUUAGCAGAACAUUCUGGAAAGUAUAACCAUAGAGGGUGAUAGUCCCGUAUGCGAAAAACAAACCUUAGCUAGCAGUAUCCUGAGUAGGGCGGGACACGAGGAAUCCUGUCUGAAUCCGGGUCGACCACGAUCCAACCCUAAAUACUAAUACCAGAUCGAUAGUGCACAAGUACCGUGAGGGAAAGGUGAAAAGAACUGAGGUGAUCAGAGUGAAAUAGAACCUGAAACCAUUUGCUUACAAUCAUUCAGAGCCCUAUGUAGCAAUACAGGGUGAUGGACUGCCUUUUGCAUAAUGAGCCUGCGAGUUGUGGUGUCUGGCAAGGUUAAGCAAACGCGAAGCCGUAGCGAAAGCGAGUCUGAAUAGGGCGCUUAGUCAGAUGCUGCAGACCCGAAACGAAGUGAUCUAUCCAUGAGCAAGUUGAAGCUAGUGUAAGAACUAGUGGAGGACUGAACCCAUAGGCGUUGAAAAGCCCCGGGAUGACUUGUGGAUAGGGGUGAAAGGCCAAUCAAACUUCGUGAUAGCUGGUUCUCUCCGAAAUAUAUUUAGGUAUAGCGUUGUGUCGUAAUAUAAGGGGGUAGAGCACUGAAUGGGCUAGGGCAUACACCAAUGUACCAAACCCUAUCAAACUCCGAAUACCUUAUAUGUAAUCACAGCAGUCAGGCGGCGAGUGAUAAAAUCCGUCGUCAAGAGGGAAACAACCCAGACUACCAGCUAAGGUCCCUAAAUCUUACUUAAGUGGAAAACGAUGUGAAGUUACUUAAACAACCAGGAGGUUGGCUUAGAAGCAGCCAUCCUUUAAAGAAAGCGUAAUAGCUCACUGGUCUAGUGAUUUUGCGCGGAAAAUAUAACGGGGCUAAAGUAAGUACCGAAGCUGUAGACUUAGUUUACUAAGUGGUAGGAGAGCGUUCUAUUUGCGUCGAAGGUAUACCGGUAAGGAGUGCUGGAGCGAAUAGAAGUGAGCAUGCAGGCAUGAGUAGCGAUAAUUAAUGUGAGAAUCAUUAACGCCGUAAACCCAAGGUUUCCUACGCGAUGCUCGUCAUCGUAGGGUUAGUCGGGUCCUAAGUCGAGUCCGAAAGGGGUAGACGAUGGCAAAUUGGUUAAUAUUCCAAUACCAACAUUAGUGUGCGAUGGAAGGACGCUUAGGGCUAAGGGGGCUAGCGGAUGGAAGUGCUAGUCUAAGGUCGUAGGAGGUUAUACAGGCAAAUCCGUAUAACAAUACUCCGAGAACUGAAAGGCUUUUUGAAGUCUUCGGAUGGAUAGAAGAACCCCUGAUGCCGUCGAGCCAAGAAAAGUUUCUAAGUUUAGCUAAUGUUGCCCGUACCGUAAACCGACACAGGUGGGUGGGAUGAGUAUUCUAAGGCGCGUGGAAGAACUCUCUUUAAGGAACUCUGCAAAAUAGCACCGUAUCUUCGGUAUAAGGUGUGGUUAGCUUUGUAUUAGGAUUUACUCCGAAAGCAAGGAAACUUACAACAAAGAGUCCCUCCCGACUGUUUACCAAAAACACAGCACUCUGCUAACUCGUAAGAGGAUGUAUAGGGUGUGACGCCUGCCCGGUGCUCGAAGGUUAAUUGAUGGGGUUAGCAUUAGCGAAGCUCUUGAUCGAAGCCCGAGUAAACGGCGGCCGUAACUAUAACGGUCCUAAGGUAGCGAAAUUCCUUGUCGGUUAAAUACCGACCUGCAUGAAUGGCGUAACGAGAUGGGAGCUGUCUCAAAGAGGGAUCCAGUGAAAUUGUAGUGGAGGUGAAAAUUCCUCCUACCCGCGGCAAGACGGAAAGACCCCGUGGACCUUUACUACAGCUUGACACU